rfam:Oryza glumipatula chromosome 4, whole genome shotgun sequence.
AGUAAGUGCAGUGAUGAGUUUUCGCGUUCAAUUUUCAUCGUCCGUCUUAUUUGAAAUUUUUUUAUAAUUAGUAUUUUUGUUAUUAUAAGAUGAUAAAACAUGAAUAGUACUUUACUCGUGACUUAUGUUUUUAAUUUUUUUCAAAAAAAUUUUAAAUAAGACGAGUAGUCAAAGUUGUGCACGGAAAACCAUAACUGCACUUAUU